UAUUAAAAAUUUCCAUCCAUUUGUACUGUUAAAAACUGACGUGGCUAAUAAAAUAAUGAAGUAGUGACAUGUGACGUGCUUUGUAUACCUUAUGGUGAUUUACAAUGACCAAUAUUUAAUAGUAGAAAUGUAUGAAAUUUUUAACA
rfam:Gossypium raimondii Chr06_contig_868, whole genome shotgun sequence.